UACGUAGGGCGCAAGCGUUGUCCGGAAUUAUUGGCGUAAAGAGCUCGUAGGCGGCGUGUCGCGUCGGUUGUGAAAGCCCGGGGCUUAACUCCGGGUCUGCAGUCGAUACGGGCAUGCUUGAGUUCGGUAGGGGAGAUCGGAAUUCCUGGUGUAGCGGUGAAAUGCGCAGAUAUCAGGAGGAACACCGGUGGCGAAGGCGGAUCUCUGGGCCGAUACUGACGCUGAGGAGCGAAAGCGUGGGGAGCGAACAGG
rnacentral:rRNA from 1 species